rnacentral:misc_RNA from 1 species
GUAACAAGGUUUCCGUAGGUGAACCUGCGGAAGGAUCAUUACCGAGUGUAGGGUUCCUAGCGAGCCCAACCUCCCACCCGUGUUUACUGUAACCUUAGUUGCUUCGGCGGGCCCGCCUUUAAGGCCGCCGGGGGGCAUCAGCCCCCGGGCCCGCGCCCGCCGGAGACACCACGAACUCUGUCUGAUCUAGUGAAGUCUGAGUUGAUUGUAUCGCAAUCAGUUAAAACUUUCAACAAUGGAUCUCUUGGUUCCGGCAUCGAUGAAGAACGCAGCGAAAUGCGAUAACUAGUGUGAAUUGCAGAAUUCCGUGAAUCAUCGAGUCUUUGAACGCACAUUGCGCCCCCUGGUAUUCCGGGGGGCAUGCCUGUCCGAGCGUCAUUGCUGCCCAUCAAGCACGGCUUGUGUGUUGGGUCGUCGUCCCCUCUUCGGGGGGGACGGGCCCCAAAGGCAGCGGCGGCACCGCGUCCGAUCCUCGAGCGUAUGGGGCUUUGUCACCCGCUCUGUAGGCCCGGCCGGCGCUUGCCGAACGCAAAACAACCAUUCUUUCCAGGUUGACCUCGGAUCAGGUAGGGAUACCCGCUGAACUUAAGCAUAUC